rnacentral:rRNA from 1 species
GGCUUACCCGUGACGGCAAUAGUUCAACACACAUUUGACAAGAUGAAUGCGUACUUUGUAAAGUACUCGAUGGAAACGGAUGCACAGAUAGCGGGUGAGAACCCGCGCAAGUACAAGUAGAAGUUCCCACCCAAAGUUGAUGAAUGGUUGGUAUUUCAAUCACGGAAGGCGGACUCAGAAGAAGCUAUAUUAUAUGACAACGAAGAGUGGAAGUACGAAGUGAAAGAGCCAGGAGGAACCACAAACGAUGGCUGGCAACAUGGAGGUCGGGCUUUCAAGGUGUCGUUAACACAAUGUGAUUGCACUUGCGGGAGGCCAUUGUUGCUUCAUCUCCCAUGCUCACACUUGUAUACCGCCGGUCGCGUUAGGAAUGUGGACAUCAAUCACCCACGCACCGUGAGGGAGUCGGAGUUCUCAAUCAUGACGGUCAAGAAAACAUGGGCUCCCCGCUUUCACCCGUACUUUGACCAAUCACAAUGGCGAGAGUAUCAUGGAGUUCAACUAUGGCCGGAUCCG